rnacentral:rRNA from 1 species
UACGGAGGGUGCAAACGUUGCUCGGAAUCAUUGGGCGUAAAGCGCACGUAGGCGGCGCGUUAAGUCGGAUGUGAAAGCCCCGGGCUCAACCCGGGAAGUGCAUACGAAACUGGCGCGCUUGAAUAUGGAAGAGGGUCGCGGAAUUCCCGGUGUAGAGGUGAAAUUCGUAGAGAUCGGGAGGAACACCAGUGGCGAAGGCGGCCGGCUGGGGGUGACCUGACGCUGAGGCGCGAAAGCGUGGGGAGCGAACCGG